rnacentral:rRNA from 1 species
UACAGAGGGUGCAAGCGUUAAUCGGAAUCACUGGGCGUAAAGGGUGCGUAGGCGGGUCUUUAAGUCAGGGGUGAAAUCCUGGAGCUCAACUCCAGAACUGCCUUUGAUACUGAAGAUCUUGAGUCCGGGAGAGGUGAGUGGAACUGCGAGUGUAGAGGUGAAAUUCGUAGAUAUUCGCAAGAACACCAGUGGCGAAGGCGGCUCACUGGCCCGGUACUGACGCUGAGGCACGAAAGCGUGGGGAGCAAACAGG